rnacentral:rRNA from 1 species
AACGAACGCUGGCGGCAUGCCUAACACAUGCAAGUCGAACGAGACCUUCGGGUCUAGUGGCGCACGGGUGCGUAACGCGUGGGAACCUGCCCUUAGGUUCGGAAUAACUCCCCGAAAGGGGUGCUAAUACCGGAUAAUGUCUUCGGACCAAAGAUUUAUCGCCUUUGGUUGGGCCCGCGUUGGAUUAGCUAGUUGGUAGGGUAAAAGCCUACCAAGGCGACGAUCCAUAGCUGGUCUGAGAGGAUGAUCAGCCACACUGGGACUGAGACACGGCCCAGACUCCUACGGGAGGCAGCAGUGGGGAAUAUUGGACAAUGGGCGAAAGCCUGAUCCAGCAAGGCCGCGUGAGUGAUGAAGGCCUGAGGGUUGUAAAGCUCUUUUACCCGGGAUGAUAAUGACAGUACCGGGAGAAUAAGCUCCGGCUAACUCCGUG